CGGUUGUAUUAAGCCCACCCCUAAUUGUGUCCUAGUAACGAGGGAAAAAAGAAGAAAGAUAAGCAGUCGUUCCAUAUUCGACGUUAAAUUGUUUACCGCAAUCUACGGUCCCCGCGUAUCCAAACCGAUAAAUGUCUACCAAGCCGUUUCAUCUUAGACCGUCCAUUCAUUCCACUACCUCAAUAAAUUACAUUUAUCGGGCUUCUCAUUUCCAUGUCCUCAUCUCUACUGUUCAUUUCUCUGGCCAUCUCUGUUUUAUCCAGAUCCUCUUAAUCUCUUCUCUUUUCCGGAUUUCAUAUUCAGAUUUGAGGAGAUCGUUUUCCGAUCUAUCAUUUGGUUAUGGAUUCGAAUUGUUCCUUUGGUAUGCUCGUUCAUCGAGAUCGACCAGAGUAACGAUGUUUCUGUUGUUCGAUCUUCGUCCCCGUUGCCGGUGGCGAAGCAAAGAUUCCAUAUUUAAGUCGGCUGGAUCUCAUGCGCUUGGUAGAGGAUCGAGGAAGUCUGUUUCUUGAUGAGGAACAAUAAAGGUUUCUUCGGAUUUACGGUGAUUCCGUUGUUUUCGGCGAUGCUAUUUGGAUCGUUGCACGCUUUGACUGUCGAGAAAUGGACAUCAGCAGCGUUGAUGAUGAUUGCCAUAACUUAAUUUAUUGUCUAUAUGGACUAUAGGAUGCGGAUUAUAGGGAUGCAUCUGUACUUGCAGAUCAAAGGUAAAAUUGUGAGUAUCAGUGAGGUCUUGUUGUUGUUAAUUCGACCUUUGCCAUGAUGGGUGCGCUCACAUGGCAGGUCAAGUACCUAAUAAAAAUUCUACUUUUUGUGUUGGAGAGGAGAUGGUACGGGGAUUUUUGCCCGGCUCUCCUCUCUCUUUGUCUUGUCUUCUCCCCCUCACACCUUUACUCCCUUUCUCUGGAUCGGUUCCAAACUUCAUGGCAAACUGUUGUUUACGUGUCCGAAAUACUAGUAUGAGAGGAGACAAUUAGCUCGUGCAUUCAAUUAACACGACGACAGCCAAGCAAAUGGUUAUUGGUUCAACUGCAGCACUCCCUUAGAGGUACAAUUCGAAAUUGCCUUUUACAUAGGCGUUAGCCAUUUGUGUCUGACGCAACGCUCUUCUAAAGGUACAAUUCCAAUUCUAUUCAUUAAAAUUACAUUUGUGCUUGGCCUAAUAGCAGUCAGUUUUCCAGAUUAAUUAGCUCACGGAAACGUCCCAGUCUUGAUACAUAAGAUAACAUCUCAAGUUCCUGUUUUCAAAUGUAAUGUUAGAGUUCGAUUCUUAGUUUAACUAAUCUUAUAAAUAGAUUAUCACUUCUGUUAAACCGUCUCAAUCAAACUUUAAAACUUGACGUUUUAUUAUUCUGGUUAGACAUACCAAUCGGAUCAUUUGCAGUUUUGGCUAGUAUGAAUAUUUCAUUCAUUUAGUUACUCUUGUUCACCCAUUUUAGUCAUGUAUUUGUAGAGUCGCAUGAAUAUCUCAUUCAGGACAUUGUAUAUUGUUUUGGGAGUACUUUGUUAUCAUUUUUCCAGGAUUUGAUUUUCAAAAGUUAGAUUUAGCCUGAUUUAUGACUGAUUGGACACAAGGUCUCUGUUACAACAAUGUUGAAAUCUUAUUUCUGUGGUGUGAUGAAUGAUUUGACCCAGUAAUGAAAGCUUUGCUUGCCUUGAAAAUUUCUCCGGUUGCUUCUCCAUGACCUGCCAAAUUUAAACCAUUGCAACUGACAUGGUCUUACAUCAAAAGUAGAGAGGCUGACUAUUGGCUCUAUCCUGAGGAGUCCAAAACCUAAAUGUGUAUUUCUUGACUCAAAAGAUCGAAAUAAGUAAAAAAAAUUAAGUGAACAAACUAUAUAAAAUGCGGUUUUAAAGCGCGCUUUACCUUAACAUCUUAAAUUUUUUUUAAAACUUAUUUCGGUUUUUUGAGUCCAAAAAUACCACAUUUAGGUUUUGUUCUCCUAUCCUGAGAACAUAUUCUACUUUCCUUUUCCUGGUUUACCUUUUUGGCGGGGGAUUUAUCACUACUUUUGGUUGGAUAACCAGCAAACAUCUGGUGUAGAGGUUGUUUAUCCUGUAGACAGCUGUUCUUUGAUGGAUCUAGUGAAAUAUGUUUUCGACUAUGAAGUUUUCUUCACCAUUAUAGCGCUUGAAGAAGCAACAAUUUUCGAAGUUUGUCCUGUAGAUAUUGCAUCUUCCUGAAAGUGCUUACGCUCCUGGUUACAUGAAAAUUAAUUGCUGAUUACAGUUUUUUAUUAUUUGCUCUGGUCAAGUGUGUAAACCUGCGUAUCGGUUCUCGACUGGUUUAUAUUGAUUUAUCUCUUGUCAAAGAAAUGGUUAACAGUAAUGGCGAGCAACCACUGUCUGCAAUUACACUUCGUGGUUUUGCUAGUAAGCUUUGCUAGUUUUGAUUAAAAUAUAAUGGGACUAUUUUGUUAGAUAGUACUUAUUCCUUUUUGUAUGACGGGUGAAGUUCCUCACGAGCAA